rnacentral:rRNA from 1 species
GUCCACGCCGUAAACGAUGACUGCUAGGUGUCGGGUGGCAAAGCCAUUCGGUGCCGCAGCUAACGCAAUAAGCAGUCCACCUGGGGAGUACGUUCGCAAGAAUGAAACUCAAAGGAAUUGACGGGGGACCCGCACAAGCGGUGGAGCAUGUGGUUUAAUUCGAAGCAACGCGAAGAACCUUACCUGAUCUUGACAUCCCGAUGACCGCUUCGUAAUGGAAGCUUUUCUUCGGAACAUCGGUGACAGGUGGUGCAUGGUUGUCGU